CAAAGAAAAAGGAAUAUCACUAUUAUUUAAAAAUGUCCUUGAGGCUGCACGAAAAAUUGCACAAGAAAUAUAAUUACAAAUGUGGUCGUCGUGUCAACUCAUCUGGUCGUGUCUAUUAUUAGAAUCGCUUAAUGGACAAGCUGCAAGCUGAUUAGCAGGCAAAUAAAUCCAUGGGAGCUUAAAAUAGAAGAGUUAAACCUGAUUAAAGUAUGAGAAAUGUGUAGUUCCUGCUUAGCAUUGAUCAAAUUCCAGGCCAGAGCCAACCAUCAUACCCACAGGAAAUUCAAGUUUUGCUUCUGUUGCUAUUGACCAGUCACCAGCAAAAAUCCCUCAUCGCUUGGAUAAACAUCAUCCCGUUUUGGAUUGGAGAAACUUCUGUUCGAGCUCUUUCUCAAAAUCUUCUCUGUCCUCGUGUACUCCCAUGUGAGGUGUGGCUGUAUUCACGAGGAUACUCUUUUGCUUUCCCUCCUGGUGGAUUCAACUCUUCAGCAGACAGAGCACUUUGUGUAUGGAAGCCUGGCUGUAUUUCCCAGGCUGAAAGGAAAAUUCAGAAUCAUUAAAAAUGGAGUUGAACGCACGACGAGACCUAAACUACAAGAAAAUCUAAGCGAAAAUCUUCUC
rnacentral:misc_RNA from 1 species